rnacentral:rRNA from 1 species
CGGUAAUUCCAGCUCCAAUAGCGUAUAUUAAAGUUGUUGUGGUUAAAAAGCUCGUAGUCGAACCUUGGGCCUGGCUGGCCGGUCCCCCUCACCGGGUGCACUGAUCCAGCCGGGCCUUUCCCUCUGUGGAACCCCAUGGCCUUCACUGGCUGUGCGGGGGAAACAGGACUUUUACUGUGAAAAAAUUAGAGUGCUCCAGGCAGGCCUAUGCUCGAAUACAUUAGCAUGGAAUAAUAGAAUAGGACGUGUGGUUCUAUUUUGUUGGUUUCUAGGACCGCCGUAAUGAUUAAUAGGGACAGUCGGGGGCAUCAGUAUUCAGUUGUCAGAGGUGAAAUUCUUGGAUCUACUGAAGACUAACUACUGCGAAAGCAUUUGCCAAGGGUGUUUUCAUUGAUAAGGAACGAAAGUUAGGGGAUCGAAGACGAUCAGAUACCGUCGUAGUCUUAACUAUAAACUAUGCCGACUAGGGAUCGGACGAUGUUAUUAUUUGACGCGUUCGGCACCUUUCGAGAAAUCAAAGUGCUUGGGCUCCAGGGGGAGUAUGGUCGCAAGGCUGAAACUUAAAGAAAUUGACGGAAGGGCACCACCAGGGGUGGAACCUGCGGCUUAAUUUGACUCAACACGGGGAAACUCACCAGGUCCAGACACAGUGAGGAUUGACAGAUUGAGAGCUCUUUCUUGAUUCUGUGGGUGGUGGUGCAUAGCCGUUCUUAGUUGGUGGAGUGAUUUGUCUGCUUAAUUGCGAUAACGAACGAGACCUUAACCUGCUAAAUAGCCCGUACUGCUCUGGCAGUUCGCUGGCUUCUUAGAGGGACUAUCGGCUCAAGCCGAUGGAAGUUUGAGGCAAUAACAGGUCUGUGAUGCCCUUAGAUGUCCUGGGCCGCACGCGCGUUUGACUGACAGAGUCAGCGAGUACCUCCUUGGCC